AGAGUUUGAUCCUGGCUCAGGACGAACGCUGGCGGCGUGCCUAAUACAUGCAAGUAGAACGCUGAAAUCUGGUGCUUGCACCGGAUGGAUGAGUUGCGAACGGGUGAGUAACGCGUAGGUAACCUACCUCAUAGCGGGGGAUAACUAUUGGAAACGAUAGCUAAUACCGCAUAACAGUCUUUAACUCAUGUUAGAGUCUUGAAAGGGGCAAUUACUUCACUAUGAGAUGGACCUGCGUUGUAUUAGCUAGUUGGUGAGGUAACGGCUCACCAAGGCGACGAUACAUAGCCGACCUGAGAGGGUGAUCGGCCACACUGGGACUGAGACACGGCCCAGACUCCUACGGGAGGCAGCAGUAGGGAAUCUUCGGCAAUGGGGGCAACCCUGACCGAGCAACGCCGCGUGAGUGAAGAAGGUUUUCGGAUCGUAAAGCUCUGUUGUAAGAGAAGAACGUGUGUGAGAGUGGAAAGUUCACACAGUGACGGUAUCUUACCAGAAAGGGACGGCUAACUACGUGCCAGCAGCCGCGGUAAUACGUAGGUCCCGAGCGUUGUCCGGAUUUAUUGGGCGUAAAGCGAGCGCAGGCGGUUUGAUAAGUCUGAAGUUAAAGGCUGUGGCUCAACCAUAGUACGCUUUGGAAACUGUCAAACUUGAGUGCAGAAGGGGAGAGUGGAAUUCCAUGUGUAGCGGUGAAAUGCGUAGAUAUAUGGAGGAACACCGGUGGCGAAAGCGGCUCUCUGGUCUGUAACUGACGCUGAGGCUCGAAAGCGUGGGUAGCGAACAGGAUUAGAUACCCUGGUAGUCCACGCCGUAAACGAUGAGUGCUAGUGUGUUAGGCCCUUUCCGGGGCUUAGUGCCGCAGCUAACGCAUUAAGCACUCCGCCUGGGGAG
rnacentral:rRNA from 1 species